rnacentral:rRNA from 1 species
CGGGCAGUCUGGUGCCAGCAGCCGCGGUAAUUCCAGCUCCAAUAGCGUAUAUUAAAAUUGUUGCAGUUAAAAAGCUCGUAGUUGAAUUUCUGCUGCAUUGCUUUUGCUCCUUUACGAGUCUUUGCAUUGUGGCUUAUUUCGGACUUUGUUUUACAAUGUCCGGAUGUUUACUUUGAGAAAAUUAGAGUGCUCAAAGCAGGCUUUCGCCUUGAAUAGUUUAGCAUGGAAUAAUAAAGUAGGACUUUGGUUCUAUUUUGUUGGUUUUAGGUACCAAAGUAAUGGUUAAUAAGAACAGUUGGGGGCAUUCGUAUUUAACUGUCAGAGGUGAAAUUCUUAGAUUUGUUAAAGACGAACUACUGCGAAAGCAUUUGCCAAGGAUGUUUUCAUUAAUCAAGAACGAAAGUUAGGGGAUCGAAGACUAUCAGAUACCGUCGUAGUCCUAACCAUAAACUAUGCCGACUAGAGAUUGGAGGUCGUCAGUUUUUACGACUCCUUCAGCACCUUGAGAGAAAUCAAAGUCUUUGGA